ensembl:lncRNA
UAAAGCACAUGUAAAGUAAUUGAUUUUAAUUUCAACUUAAGUGUGUUCUCCAAAAUUACAUUUGUUAAUGUAUUUUAAAUGUAUUUAGUCUAUAAUAUAUAAUAUGUGCAUUAAUGCACUUGAAAUGUAUAUUUCUUCCAUACUUUAAUACACUUUCUUACAGUAUACGCCAAUAAAAUUUAUUGUUGAAAUUUUCAUCACCAGCAUUGUAAAUGCAUUCAAAUACAUUUUAUUCUAAUUAGACUAGGCUACACUGCACUGUAAAAAAUUACUGACUUUUAAUAUGUCAACAAAAGUCUAACUACACAAUGAAUUAGGACAACUUGAACUUGAACAGAAAUGAAAAGCCUGAAAUAACAAGUAACCACGCACUAAAGUAUCUCUUUUGUCUUAUGCGCGUGUGCCAAAAUAUUACGUCAUGAUGGCGCGCUACUUCAGUAGAGUUUGAAAAAUGCGUAAACAGGUAUGCUAUUGUAUUAAGUGACACCUCACAAAAGAUUUAUUUAUUUAUUUAUUUUGUUACUGUCCUCUGGCCCGGUUUUCAUAUUAAUGUUGUUCAUCUUUUUCUAUUUUUCCUUUACAUUUUAAUGUUUCUCGUUGUAUUGUUUUGAUGUAUGGCACAAUAAAAAUAAAAAAUUAAGUUCGAAAAAUGCUUUUCUUUUUGUAUUUUAAGAGCGAGAUGUUGUGUUUGUACUUAUUUUUGUACUUAUCUGGAGUUAUUAAUUUUGCAGGAUCUGUACAGGAUUGUUACUGGAGACACAGAACAGUACUGAAAAGAUCCCCCUCUAAUCAUCAUAUAUUUUACGGGUAACAAAACAUCCUUAAUGAAGAUGUGUGAGAAGCUUGCAAUGCAAGAUGAGGGAAAAAAAUAAAGGUACCUUCCUUCAUUUUCAUAGAUUUUGGGAUAUUUAUCUACAUUUGGUUAAUUGAUAAAAUUAUGUUUUAUUCCCUGUAAAGUAGGAAUAAAAAAAUGUUUGUAAAAAUGUUAUCUAUUUUUAAAUCCCAGUAUCAGUGAAGAUGGUGUGACCAGGAAAUAUGGAAAUCUGAAGGAACAUCUCCCAGUAUUCUACUACGAUGUUGCCCUGAUGAUUGAGGUAAUUCAUCUCUUACGUGAUGCAGAUGUGGUCAAAAGUUUACAUACACCUUGCAAAAUAAACUGCUUCAUCAGAGAAGAAAUUGCAAUUGUUUAAUGAUUCUACCCCUCUACCAUCUUACUGCUUAAAUUAUUAACAUUUUGCAGAGACUGCUAGGUGUAUAUAAACUUUGGACUGCAACUGAGUCUAUUGCUUUUACUCAUCUGAACCAUUUAUAAUGACUGGAUAUGUUUUGUAACAAUUGUUCUUCUUUCUUUUCUCAAGAAAUUUUUUUCUGACUUUCCUGCCUCUUUGGAACAUGCUGGAGUAAGAUUUUAGAAGAAACCUUUCAGUCCUGUUUAAUGUUGGUGCUAGCAAAGGUUUGAGAACUAAUGGCCUGGUUUCACAGACAGGUCUUUGACUAAGCCAAGAUUAGGCCAUAGUUCAAUUAGGACAUUUAAGUCAUUUUCAUUAAAAUGCUGUAGAAAAAAAAAAAAACAUUACUGGUGUGCAUCUUGAGACAAAACAAAGGCACUGAUAUUUUUAAAGGUCAGCCAGUGCACGUUUCUUUCAGUUGAAACAACUCAGAAUUACAUUCAAUUCAAAUGAGCUUUAUUGGCAUGACUUGCACAGUAUUGCCAAAGCAUAAUUAUAGAAUUACAUUUAAGUCUGAGGCUGGUCUUAAGCCUUGUCGGUGUAACCCGGGUACCAUUAACACAGUUUGGUAAUGUUUUACAAUAAGGUCUCAUUUGUUGUACAUGGAAUGAUAAUUUUCCUGAUUUUUAUUAUUUUAUUUUUUUUGGUAUUAAGUUUGUGUGUUAGUAAUCCUACAAGUUAUAGAGACCAAAUGACUCCACAAGGAUAGUAAUACCAGUAAAUUGUAUUGACCUUGAGGACAUUUUUAGUUCCCCAAUGAGGACACAGGCUUAUAUAUCAUACAGAAUGAUGUUUUCUAUUAUGGCGAGAUUAGGUACUUUUGUAUGUAAGUAUGUAAGUAAUUUUGCAUUGUUCUCCAGACUCUUUCUAAUAAGUGAGUUAAAGUGUUGCAAUUGUGUAUAGUGUUGGGUUUUUCUUGUGCAUCAGCAAAAAGCAUUUUUGUGUAUUUGUUUUAGAUAUUUUGUCAAUAAAUGUAGAGGGUUUUCCAUUUUGUGUUUGUGUUGAUUGUAACUAGGAAAUUAAUACAUUGAAAUGACAUUUAAAUAUAUUUUAUUUCACAUUAAUUGCUUGUAAGUACACUAAUAGUACACUAUAACCAUAUUUUAAAGACACUAGAAGCAAUUAUAAAAGUACAUAUAAAGACGUACUAAAAAGUCCCACUUAAGUGGUUUAAAAAAAAUCAUUUAAACUAAUUGCAUUUAAUAUCACUUUAAAAUGUGAUACAUUUGAAGUUAUUUACAAAUAGACUGCAUUUAAGCGUCGAAAAUAACAUAUUUAAUUUGCACUUAUGUGUGUUCUUUUAAAGUAUAUUAUUUCUGCAAUAAGUACACUUUAUAAAAGUAUACUUAAGUGCACUUCUUUUUCCACAAGGGGUGGGUUCCUUGAAUCUUUCUAUAAAAGCAGACCCCAACAUCUCUGUGGUGCACACUGA